GACGAACGCUGGCGGCGUGCUUAACACAUGCAAGUCGAACGGAAAGGCCCUGCUUUUGUGGGGUGCUCGGGUGGCGAACGGGUGAGUAACACGUGAGUAACCUGCCCUUGACUUUGGGAUAACUUCAGGAAACUGGGGCUAAUACCGGAUAGGAGCUCCUGCUGCAUGGUGGGGGUUGGAAAGUUUCGGCGGUUGGGGAUGGACUCGCGGCUUAUCAGCUUGUUGGUGGGGUAGUGGCUUACCAAGGCUUUGACGGGUAGCCGGCCUGAGAGGGUGACCGGCCACAUUGGGACUGAGAUACGGCCCAGACUCCUACGGGAGGCAGCAGUGGGGAAUAUUGCACAAUGGGCGGAAGCCUGAUACAGCAACGCCGCGUGCGGGAUGACGGCCUUCGGGUUGUAAACCGCUUUCGCCUGUGACGAAGCGUGAGUGACGGUAAUGGGUAAAGAAGCACCGGCUAACUACGUG
rnacentral:rRNA from 1 species